AUUGAACGCUGGCGGCAGGCCUAACACAUGCAAGUCGAACGGUAACAGGAAGAAGCUUGCUUCUUUGCUGACGAGUGGCGGACGGGUGAGUAAUGUCUGGGAAACUGCCUGAUGGAGGGGGAUAACUACUGGAAACGGUAGCUAAUACCGCAUAACGUCGCAAGACCAAAGAGGGGGACCUUCGGGCCUCUUGCCAUCGGAUGUGCCCAGAUGGGAUUAGCUAGUAGGUGGGGUAACGGCUCACCUAGGCGACGAUCCCUAGCUGGUCUGAGAGGAUGACCAGCCACACUGGAACUGAGACACGGUCCAGACUCCUACGGGAGGCAGCAGUGGGGAAUAUUGCACAGUGGGCGCAAGCCUGAUGCAGCCAUGCCGCGUGUAUGAAGAAGGCCUUCGGGUUGUAAAGUACUUUCAGCGGGGAGGAAGGGAGUAAAGUUAAUACCUUUGCUCAUUGACGUUACCCGCAGAAGAAGCACCGGCUAACUCCGU
rnacentral:rRNA from 1 species